rnacentral:rRNA from 1 species
UACGAAGGGGGCUAGCGUUGUUCGGAUUUACUGGGCGUAAAGCGCACGUAGGCGGGUCGUUAAGUCGGGGGUGAAAUCCUGGAGCUCAACUCCAGAACUGCCUUCGAUACUGGCGACCUAGAGUCCGGAAGAGGUGAGUGGAACUCCUAGUGUAGAGGUGGAAUUCGUAGAUAUUAGGAAGAACACCAGUGGCGAAGGCGGCUAACUGGUCCAGAUCUGACGCUGAGGUGCGAAAGCGUGGGGAGCAAACAGG